GAGAGAGAGGGAGGCAGACAGACGGACACACGGACGGACAGACAAACGGACAGACGGAGGGUCCUAUCUGCUUUUUGGCUCUGUGGGGGUGCUGCAUCAACA